rnacentral:ncRNA from 1 species
AAAGAAAUCGUUAAGGGCGUAUGGCGGAUGCCUAGGCUUUCAGAGGCGAAGAAGGACGUGGUAAGCUGCGAAAAGCUCGGGGGAUUGGCACACACGAAUU